CCUACGGGAGGCAGCAGUGAGGAAUAUUGGUCAAUGGGCGCGAGCCUGAACCAGCCAAGUCGCGUGAGGGAAGACGGUCCUAUGGAUUGUAAACCUCUUUUGUCGGGGAGCAAAAUACGCCACGCGUGGCGUUCCGAGAGUACCCGAAGAAAAAGCAUCGGCUAACUCCGUGCCAGCAGCCGCGGUAAUACGUAGGUGGCGAGCGUUAUCCGGAAUGAUUGGGUGUAGAGGGUACGUAGGCGGCUGGCUAAGUCUGGGGUGAAAUUUACCGGCUCAACCGAUACACGCUGUGGAAACUGGCUGGCUAGAGUGAGAGAGAGGGAGGCGGAAUUCGAGGUGUAGCGGUGAAAUGCGUAGAUAUAUGGAAGAACACCAGUGGCGAAGGCAGCAGACUGGCCUGAUACUGACGCUGAGGCACGAAAGCGUGGGGAGCAAAUAGGAUUAGAUACCCCAGUAGUC
rnacentral:rRNA from 1 species